rnacentral:rRNA from 1 species
UAGGGAAUCUUCGGCAAUGGACGAAAGUCUGACCGAGCAACGCCGCGUGAGUGAAGAAGGUUUUCGGAUCGUAAAACUCUGUUGGUAGAGAAGAACGUUGGUGAGAGUGGAAAACUCAUCAAGUGACGGUAACUACCCAGAAAGGGACGGCUAACUACGUGCCAC